CUACGGGGGGCUGCAGUGAGGAAUAUUGCACAAUGGGGGGAACCCUGAUGCAGCAACGCCGCGUGGAGGAUGACGCAUUUCGGUGUGUAAACUCCUUUUAUAUGUCAAGAAAAUGACGGUAGCAUAUGAAUAAGCGCCGGCUAACUCCGUGCCAGCAGCCGCGGUAAUACGGAGGGCGCAAGCGUUACUCGGAAUCACUGGGCGUAAAGGACGCGUAGGCGGGUUGAAAAGUCAGGUGUGAAAGCCUACAGCUUAACUGUAGAACUGCACUUGAAACUCUCAAUCUAGAGUAUGGGAGGGGCAGAUGGAAUUAGUGGUGUAGGGGUAAAAUCCGUAGAUAUCACUAGGAAUACCUAAAGCGAAGGCGAUCUGCUGGAACAUUACUGACGCUAAGGCGUGAAAGCGUGGGGAGCAAACAGGAUUAGAUACCCCAGGAGUC
rnacentral:rRNA from 1 species